rnacentral:rRNA from 1 species
GAUCCCAUCAGAACUCCGAAGUUAAGCUUGCUAGGGCGAUAGUACUACUAGGAUGGGUGACCUCCUGGGAAGUCCUUGUGUUGCACCCC